AAGGUUUUAGUUUAAAAAAAAUAUUUAAGUUGCAUUUAAAAGAUAAACUAUUGGGAUUAAAUCUUG
rnacentral:tRNA from 1 species